rnacentral:lncRNA from 1 species
AUAUAUAUAUAUAUAUAUAUCAUUUUGACUCUAUCAUAUUCAUAUAUAACAAAUAAAUCAAGGUUGUGAGGAAUCACUUGUAGAAGAUAGCUAAUUGAGUUGGUCUCCUGUGAGACCGGAGAGGGCGCGACCACGCCUGACAACGCUAGCAGGGCGCAAGGGCGGCUUUGGCGAACCCGUGGCCCAGGGCGCGGCAACG